rnacentral:SRP_RNA from 1 species
GCUGGGUGUGGUGGUACACACCUGUAGUCCCAGCUGCUGUGGAGGCUGAGCUGGGAGGAUCACUUGAGCCUAGGUGUUCUAGGCUGCAGUGAGCUGUGACCUUUAGGUGUUUGUACACUAUAAGUGUAGCAUCAAUAUAGUGAUCUCCCAGGAGUAGGGAGCCACUAGGUUGCCUAAGGAGAGGUGAACCAGCCCAGUCAGAAACGAGCAGGUCAAAGCUCCAGGGCUGAUCAGUAAUGGGAUGGUGCCUGUGAAUAACCACUGCACUCCAGCCUGGGCAGCACAGCAAGACCCUCUU